rnacentral:rRNA from 1 species
UACGGAGGGGGCUAGCGUUGUUCGGAAUUACUGGGCGUAAAGGGCUCGUAGGUGGCCAACUAAGUCAGACGUGAAAUCCCUCGGCUUAACCGGGGAACUGCGUCUGAUACUGGAUGGCUUGAGUUUGGGAGAGGGACGCGGAAUUCCAGGUGUAGCGGUGAAAUGCGUAGAUAUCUGGAGGAACACCGGUGGCGAAGGCGGCAUCCUGGACCAACACUGACGCUGAGGAGCGAAAGCCAGGGGAGCAAACGGG